UUUUCCCUUAUAUGGACUUGUCUUCUCCCAGAGCCCCUGGUCGGGACUGGAAGCCAAGAAGCAGCCGGGGGAGCUGGGAUCCCUGUGCCAAGGCAGGAAAAUGAGGGGUCUGAGACACUCUCCCCUCCCCCAGCAACUGCCCCCACAUGCCCUGGGGGUGCCGGGGGCAAGAAACCGAGAGCUUAUGAUUCAAACCAGACAUGCAGGGCUCUAGCUGACAAGGUUGGCUGGCCACAGAGAACGAACAAGACGGAGCCCUGGCCGAGCGUCCUAGGAUCCUAUAUCUCCAGCUGUAGAGGACCCCUCCCUAGAGGGGGAAACUGAGGCCCAGAGAAGUGCAUGGGCUUAUCCAAGGUUACACUGGGGGCGGCCCUCUUUCCACAGCCUGGGUCCUAGCCUGGCCCUGCUGCUCUGGGGUUGAGUUUCCCCACCUGUGAAAAGAGGGGAUCUGCCACUAUGGCCUUGGACAUCGCUUUCCCUACCACCCAAGGCUCACUCUGGAGACCCCCUUGGGGAGAGACCCUCCUAGCCUGGGAGAUCCCGGGAGCUCUGGGCAGAGAGGACAGGGACUCCUUCUUCAGUCCACCAGCUUUCCCACCUCCAAUCCUUUGCUUCCCUCCUCACUUGCUGACCCCUUCUGAUGUCAUCCCUUAGAAGGGGCCUUCCAUGAGGCAGCCGGCCCUGGAUUCAGGAGGACCUGAGUUGAAAUCCAGCCUCAGACACAUAACACUUACUAGCUGUGUGACCCUGGGCAAGUCACUUAACCUCAUUGAAUAGCCAAAAAAAAAAAAAAGGAGCCCUGUCUGACCACCCCCAGGUGGGUCCCCUCUUUCCCCAUCAGACUUCACACAACCCUUCGCCACAUUCUAGAGAGCUUACCAGAUCAUGGCGGUAUUACCAUCAUCCACAAUUGUGUCUCAUUGUUCUCUUAGACUGGCAGCCCCAGGAGGGCAGGACCUUGCCUACAUCUAGCCUAAACCCAGGGCUCAGCUAGGAGCUGAAUGGCCCCCAGGGCCCUGCCUCUCCUCAGCUGCCUAAGGUGAGGACCAGACUGCCUUGCCUCACUUAGGAAUUCUGAAGAGCCAGAGUGAGACUUCAAUCAGCAGGCAUUAAUUAAGCCCCUACUGUACACCAGGCCCUAAAGACACAAAGAGAAGUGGACAUACUGAGAGGCCGCCAAAGCCAGCGCUCUGUGGCUCCCAUCCCCAUCCUGCCCUCGCCUGAGCCAGAGGCCUGCACUCUGUCAGCAGCCUUGUCUCCUGUCCCUGUCUUCCUUCCUCUUGUCCCGUCCUGGCAUCCCUCCCUUCCUGCCUGCUGCCCCCGGCCUGCCGGCCCCUUCUCCCCUCCUGAGGAUGCUCUGGUGACUCUAAGCACAGUCCCCUCCCACCCCCCUCCCAGCUGCCUUCCUAGACCCACUGGAGCGGUCAAGAGCAUGAGGGGCUGGGAAGCCUAGUAGCUCCUGGUCCCCCAGGCCCCUCCCAACUUGUCUUCCUAGCCCCCUCAACCUGGCCCUCCAGGCCCCUCCAACCUGGCUUCCUAGGUUCCCCCCCCAACCUGGCCCUCUAGGCCCCCCCAAUCUGGCUCCCUGAGCACUCUGACUCACACUGACCCCUUGCAACCUCUCCUCUUUGUCUGGCUCAGGCUCCUUGGAUCAGACAACAGGCUCUGUCAUGGGAGUCACGGGUCCCAUCUAUCUUGGUAGAGCCAGUACUAAGCACGGCGCCUUGUACAUGGUAGGUGCUUAAUAAAUGCAUCUUGAAUGAAUGAAUGGAUGGA